rfam:Salmo salar isolate Sally breed double haploid chromosome ssa10, whole genome shotgun sequence.
CCCUGUGGCUCAGUUGGUAGAGCAUGGUGUUUGCAACGCCAGGGUUGUGGGUUCAAUUCCCACAGGGG